UACGGAGGGUGCAAGCGUUAUCCGGAAUCACUGGGUUUAAAGGGUGCGUAGGCGGAUAGAUAAGUCAGAGGUGAAAUCUGGUCGCUUAACGAUCAAAUUGCCUUUGAAACUGUUUAUCUUGAAUUAGGUUGAGGUUGGCGGAAUGUGACAUGUAACGGUGAAAUGUAUAGAUAUGUCAUAGAACACCGAAUGCGAAGGCAGCUGGCUAGACCUACAUUGACGCUGAGGCACGAAAGCGUGGGGAGCGAACAGG
rnacentral:rRNA from 1 species